AAUGGGGAUAAAACACCUGCCUCCCAUCUACCUUCUAAUCCACGACGAUAAAAGAGAUGGUAAAUCGAAUUGACUGGAUGGACAAACUCCCCAGGUGCUAGCUGGACAGCCUGGGUGGGCAUUACAUCUUUCAAAGAUAUUUCACUCAAAUGAGAUGGAAGAUAGAAAAGCUGGGGGAAAAUGACACGAUUAUUUGGUUCCUAAUACCUUGGGGAAGCUUCAGUGCUCUUUGAGAUUCUAACCUCAAUUUACUUAAGAACAGUGAUUCACCUAGAGUUGCAUAGAAAUCAGUGGUGUUUAAAACCACAUUACAGAAAGUGAUCAUGGUGUUGAACAAGUUUCCAAAUCUGUGAGCAAAAGUGCUGUUUGGGUAACAGCUUGUGGAGAGAACUCCAUGUUUC